rfam:Anncaliia algerae PRA109 cont4.3934, whole genome shotgun sequence.
UAGUCGGUUACUAUUCAGAAUCACAUUUUUAGUAACUUACUCUUACUAUUACUUAAGAAUAGUAUCACACAACACUGGGAUGAGGAUAAAGAACAAAGUAUUAUACUUGAUUUAUGAUAGUUUAUGCUUUGUAGUCUGACUAGU